rnacentral:rRNA from 1 species
UACGAAGGGGGCUAGCGUUGCUCGGAAUCACUGGGCGUAAAGCGCACGUAGGCGGAUUUCUAAGUCGGGGGUGAAAUCCUGGAGCUCAACUCCAGAACUGCCUUCGAUACUGGAAGUCUUGAGUCCGGGAGAGGUGAGUGGAACUGCGAGUGUAGAGGUGAAAUUCGUAGAUAUUAGCAGGAACACCGGUGGCGAAGGCGGCUAUCUGGACGACAACUGACGCUGAGGCGCGAAAGCGUGGGGAUCAAACAGG